GCGCUCGCUACUUACAUGCUUUCUGAUGCCGCAACAAAGGACUAUAUGUGGUUUCUUCAGUGAGACUGUUGCUGUCGCUCCUCAUGUUCAAUAACAUUUCAGCAUUGGACCUGCUAGUCACCCAAGCCAAGCCUCGCAUCGCUUCAAUAAAGCGAUACUUCUUCCAAUCAACCCCUACUUCGGCUCUGCUCUUUUUUCCAUCUUCUCUUAUUUAAGCUAAGAAAGAUUCUGAGUUUGCAUCCAUCUCAUUACACUAGCUAGCACAAUAUAUUAGUUAAGGCAACUCUACUACAUAUCAAUUUCCCCUACUGGAUUGGUUCUAUAUUUUUAAAGUUGUUUCGUGGUGCAUGAGCCCAACCUGAAGAAAUAUAGGCUUAUGAUGACUAUUUUCCUUCUUAAGUAAUCAUAGUUGUUGGCUUCGGUAGCUUGCUGAAUAUGCUUUAGUUAUAUAUAGAAAUGGCGUGCCUUCUAUGCUUAAAUGAUUGUUUGGCUCUAUAUAAUUGUUGACAUGAAUAUCUUGACUUCCCAAACAAGUAUAGGACUGUACCUAUGCAUACAGAUUAUCCUAACAAAACUAAAAAUAAAAAUUGAAGCAUGAAAUAAGCAAUAAGUGGCUGAUUUUUAUUUGCAUGUUAAGUGGAAAGUUGUAGCCAAGGCUUAUAUAUUAGGAAAUAUUGUCACACCUCUGAGCUUCUACUGUUGUUAGGGACAUCGUAGUGUGAUCUUCAUGAUUUUUCACUUGAAGAUGUACUGAUUCAUUAGUCAAGCAGAGACUGAAGUCAUCUUUUGCUACUGCUAGCUCUAUGGAUGUUUAUUUACCUGCAACUUCUGCCAGCUCUAACUUGGUUAUAUAGCAGUUCAAUUCAGUCAGUCUGUUGGAACUAGUUUGUCUAUUACUUGUAUCCAGAUUUUAUAUCCUGCCCUAUGCCAUUGUCGACUUGCUUAGGUACAUAAUUGUUAUCUCUUGCAAUCUGGUAUUGAUGAUUGUCAAUGUAUUCAUUUAUACCUUUCUAGUGUACCUUGUAUGUGACCUAGCUGAUCUGUAUAUCAAUGCUCUGUUUCCAAUAGAUGUAUGCUGAUGCCUGAUGGCUAAUUCCUUAAAACUUCACUGUUGCAGUAGCAUUUUUCCUUAGUGCAUAGAUGUAUGAGCGAUCACUUAUGCUUGAAACCUUGCUCUCUUUCCCAGGAACCAUCAUGGUCUGCGUCACUACUGGGGCAGGAGAGGAAAGACUGUUGGUGUCUCCAGGAAGCGAUAAACUGCUUCACAAAGAUCCCCGCAUAGCUUCACUACUACUGUGUUGGUCCAUUUCCAGAAUCGUAAGGAGUGUUCUUGUUUAGACGAUUACCUUGGAUGAUGCCUUUGCUUAAGGAGAGGCUCAAGAAGAUCAGGGAGCUCCGCAUCCGAGUUUCAGCCAUCCUCUACAGCAAGGAGCUCUAGGCCAAAGGAGCAAGCAGCGCUGCUAGUUCCUUGAGGCCAGAUCGAGUAAGAUGGCGCACCAUGGCGUGUGGUGGCGUAUUUUGCUUCCGAGAACAGUACUGUUUAUUUGAAGUGAGAUGUACUCGUCUAGUGCCUGGCACAAAAAUGAAGGAUGAAGUGUCAUGUACUAUCUAUGUUGUAGUGAGCUAUAGUAGGAGUGAAAUGAAAAUGUAUCUGCUGUUGUAUGUGCUA